GUGCCUUUUAGCAGCACGUAUGAUAAAAUGAGAAUGAUAUAGAGAUUAGUAUGGCCCUCAUACUAGGAAGACCAACACCUUUGUGAAGAAUUCUGUAUCUUU